ACAAUUUCUGCAAAAAUCAAUUUUUUGCUUGAGUAAUUCUUUGAAGUCUUUAUUAUCAAAAUUGCCCCUUGCUUCAAUUGUAAUUAUAACCGUCAUUUUUUUCUUCCACAACUCCUCUUGAAUUCUUUGAACUUUACAAGGUCUUCCUUUAUCUUCCUACAAAUAUAUUUGAUAACAAUAGUCGCAUUCCUUAUCUGCAUAGUCUACUUGUAGUCUCGAACUGAAUCUACUAUUUCUUCUCGAAUUGCUUCCAUGCGUAUUGUUUCUACCACAACUGAAACUAACAAUAAAAGCUCCACCUUCACUGCCAUCACUUGUCUUAUUAAUCCUCUCAUCAUCCACAAUAACUGCAACAAACUCCUCCACCUUCAAUGUCUCUUUCUCAAUUAGAGCUGUCACUAAGCUUUUACAAGAUUGUGAGAGAGAGAUUAAAAACAAAAAUAUUUUAUCUUCUUCAUCUACCUUUACACCAACACUAGCCAAUUGGGUA
rnacentral:misc_RNA from 1 species